UCCCUCUUAGCUCAGUGGUAGAGCGCAUCACUCGUAUUUCGAAUCUAUGAUGAGGUCAGCCGUUCAAUCCGACUAGCGGGGU